CCCACAUCGCAUGUGACCCACCAAACAGCAGUGAAUUCUAAGAGGGAAACAAGAAAAAAGAAGAACAGACAGCAGCAUUGGUGGCCUAGAAGCAUACGACUGGUAGAGAAAGAGAGAGCACCACAAUAAAUGAAUCAUUGAAGAGAUUACACCAAGUAAUCAGUGUUCAAACUAUUGAAUCUUCUCUGGUACAUGCCCAGAUGCAUCCAAAAAAGAGGAGAGAAGGCAAGGUUGGCUAAACACUGUGAUUUCCUAUAGGAACUGGGAGCUGAGUGGGUGUUACCGUUGAGGGCAACCAUGAUCUUGGUUCGGAUCCAUUUUAGAAGGUAUCUCAGAUUGAAUGAUGUUGAAUGAAGAGCUGUGAAAUGUAAUUCUCACCUAUCAGGCAGUUCCGAAGCCUAAAUUUCAAGUAUGACAUUUUCAUGGGAUUCUAGUAUCAUCUAAUGUAAAACCUGAAGGUUGUCUUACAGGAGGGAAGAAAGACUAUGGAGUAUAGUCAGUCCUUCUCUAUUCACCUGGCCUUACACAAAUAUGUCAUGUGCACACUGCUCUGCUUACCCACAAAUGAAAAGCAAGCACAGCUGUCCAUAUACUACAGACUCCUUUGAUUCAAGUCAGCCUGCAUUUUUAGACCACCUAACAAUUAUGUGGAAUAGGAUACAGUCCUUGUCUUCAAGGAGUUUGUCAUCUAAGCUUAUACCAGCCAAGAAACUGCAUUUAUAUAUUUUUUUUCAUUUAACCAACAUUUGUUAAAAUUUUUCAACACACUAAAAAUUCUCAAGUAUUAAGUGUCUUGGAAAAUAUCGAAUAAAUUCAUUUUACAACAUUAGGUGGAUUUGCCAAGAAAUUACUUAGCACAGAGUCUUUUGGGGGGGAGGGGCCGCAUAUACAGUCCUAAUUGCUUUCAACUGUAUCUGGAAACUCUAGAUUUUUUAUUGUAUUUUGGUGUGUUUGUUGGAGCAGGUCAUCUCUUUGGCAGGAACAAGGUGGGUGUACUAAAUGAUAGUCCUGUUUAAAACUAAUGUGCCCAAGGCUACAAGGCCACCUGAGGUAACCUUUGCUCAGAUCAGAAAGAUCUUGUCUGAGAAAUACUGGGUUAGAGAGUGAGAAGUAACCCAUAUCACUACGCAACUCUCCCUGUGUUUUAGAGUUAGUUCAUCACCAUGAACUUGGGAAUAAACUGACACUUGGCUGUCCCUAAGGUUGUGGCCUGUGGUGAGAUACACAACUUGCAUAAUAAAAUCUGCAGUG